rnacentral:rRNA from 1 species
CUACUAGGGUUUCUAAUCCUGUUUGCUCCCCACGCUUUCGUGCAUGAGCGUCAAUCUUGACCCAGGAGACUGCCUUCGCCAUCGGUGUUCCUCCACAUAUCUACGCAUUUCACUGCUACACGUGGAAUUCUACCCCCCUCUGCCAGAUUCUAGCCUUGCAGUCUCCAAUGCAAUUCCCAGGUUGAGCCCGGGGAUUUCACAUCAGACUUACAAAACCGCCUGCGCACACUUUACGCCCAGUAAUUCCGAUUAACGCUUGCACCCUACGUAUUACCGCGGCUGCUGGCAC